rnacentral:rRNA from 1 species
GACGAACGCUGGCGGCGUGCUUAACACAUGCAAGUCGAACGGAGUGGCGAACGGGUGAGUAACACGUGGGUGAUCUGCCUUGCACUUCGGGAUACGCUUGGGCACCGGGGUCUAAUCCCGGAUAGUUCAAGGUGAGCUCGUGGCCUAUCAGCUUGUUGGUGGGGUAAUGGCCUACGAAGGCGUCGACGGGUAGCCGGCCUGCGAGGGUGUACGGCCACAUAGGGACUGGGAUACGGCGCAGGGUAGUACGGGAGGCAGCAGUGGGGAAUAUUGCAGAAUGGGGGGAAGACUGAGGCAGCGAGGCGGCGUGGGGGGGGAAGGACUUCGGGUUGUAAACUCCUUUCGACAGAGACGCGGUACCUGUAUAAGAAGCGCCGGCUAACUACGUGCCAGCAGCCGCGGUAAUAC